rnacentral:rRNA from 1 species
UACGUAGGGACCGAGCGUUGUCCGGAAUCAUUGGGCGUAAAGGCUCGUAGGCGGCCAACUAAGUCAGACGUGAAAUCCCUCGGCUUAACCGGGGAACUGCGUCUGAUACUGGAUGGCUUGAGAUUGGGAGAGGGAUGCGGAAUUCCAGGUGUAGCGGUGAAAUGCGUAGAUAUCUGGAGGAACACCGGUGGCGAAGGCGGCAUCCUGGACCAACACUGACGCUGAGUGAGCGAAAGCCAGGGGAGCAAACGGG